rnacentral:rRNA from 1 species
GACGAACGCUGGCGGCGUGCUUAACACAUGCAAGUCGAACGAUGAAGCCGGAGCUUGCUCUGGUGAAUUAGUGGCGAACGGGAGAGUAACACGUGAGUAACCUGCCCUUGACUCUGGGAUAACUGCGGGAAACUGUAGCUAAUACCGGAUACGACCCUCGGAGGCAUCUCCUGGGGGUGGAAAGAAUUUCGGUCAAGGAUGGACUCGCGGCCUAUCAGCUAGUUGGUGAGGUAAAGGCUCACCAAGGCGACGACGGGAAGCCGGCCUGAGAGGGUGACCGGCCACACUGGGACUGAGACACGGCCCAGACUUCUACGGGAGGCAGCAGUGGGGAAUAUUGCACAAUGGGCGCAAGCCUGAUGCAGCAACGCCGCGUGAGGGAUGACGGCCUUCGGGUUGUAAACCUCUUUUAGCAGGGAAGAAGCGAAAGUGACGGUACCUGCAGAAAAAGCACCGGCUAACUACGUGCCAGCAGCCGCCGUAA